CAGUGUCAGUGGUCCAUUUGAGAGAUAGGUGGCGGUAUUGCACUUAUAAGUUUGCGAUCUGCAAGAAGAAGAUAUGUCACGCGCCAGCUGUAGAAGAGGAUGCGAACCCGCUCAGGACAGUUCGGACAUUGCGGUGAAUCAGAGGUAAAAAACAAUAUAAAUAGUGUUGAGUUUCUUGCACAGACUGAUUGUUUUGUGUCUUUACACAUCAGUGUAUCGCCAUGAGUUGCAGGGUUUAAUUUGGUUUUGUUUGUGUAUGUUUUUUGACUCUCAAAGCAGUGAUUCCCAUUCACUUCUAUUAUAUGACUGACAGACUGCAACAGUUAGAGUUAAACAUCAUGGUUUGUGUCUACUGAAGAAACAUAGUCACCUACAUCUCGGAUGCCCUGGGGACUUGAAUACAAGGCUAAGCAUAUGGACCUUCAUCUUGCCUUGCAAGUCCACAGCAGUGUGGAAAACCGUCUCAUCUGCACAUUGCACUGAUCUUAUUCCCACCUGGAAAAGGUUGACAAGACAACCAGGAUCAUGUUCACUGGUGUCCUGUCGCUUCAACUUGAAAACAACCUCAAGGCAAUACAAGUCCAUGCUUUCACAAUGUCUUGGAACUUGGACUGGUUUUCUGAUUGGCAGGACUAGCGGGAAUUCCAAGACUGUGUUGAAUAUGGUGGUAAGUACCUCAGAGAGCCAUCUUGGGUUGUUUCCUGGUCACCUUUAACAUGGCAUACUUCCAUUAUAACAGCGUUUCGUGCCAUCUGCAUUGCUCAGUUCUUACAUCACUUCUCCACAGUAGCAUGCAUCAGAAAUGGAGAUGAGAAGAUCUACAGGGAGUCAGUGAACGAGAUGUAACCACCUGCAGUGGAGCGUCCUUUUGACAAUGGGGUUGGAGCUGACAUACUUUCAACACUGUAUUCUUAUGGGAAUGCAAUUCAUACCAAACAAACAGAUCAAGAAGGCUGGUGUGAAGCUGAUUUCAACAAAUCCUUAACCCUAAAUAUUGAACUUUAGUAUGCAGCGCAUCCCACAUACUGUAGUUUGUACUAUGUAGAUAAAUGGUACCACACUUAAACUAGUAAGUAAACAUCCAGUGGCUGGUAAUAUAAAGUGCUUAGACUUGUCUUAGAACUAAUUAUGUUCUUUAAAGGUUCAGUAUGUAAUAUUGACAGUUAGUGGUUGAAAUGAAUACUGCAGUCCAAAUUCAAAAUAUUGGAGACAUUUGUUUCUCCUUCCCCUCCUCAGACUCGACGCUCUGAAACCAGCUACAAGCGGCUUAAACCAGCGAAAACUAGCUUAAGCUGGCUUUAAUUUCUAGUUUUUCAUUAUUAUUAUAUAUUUUUGAAUCAGUCUAAAAUUAUUAAAGUUAUUAUUAACUGUAAUAAUCAUAUUUUUAUUAUUAUAGAAUAUAGUAUUAUAAAUACAUAUGUAACAAAACAAUAUACAAAACAAUAUAUAUAUAUAUAUAUAUAUAUAUAUAUAUAUAUAUAUAUAUAUAUAUAUAUAUAUAUAUAUAUAUAUAUCACCUCACACCAUUGCCGUAAUGAGAUUAUUACAAAUUGAGAGUGAAGUGAUUGCGUGGCAUGAGCCAUAAUAUUCCAUGUCAUUUUGAGAACUGCAUUUUGAUACAAAUUGCC
ensembl:lncRNA